AGGACGAACGCUGGCGGCGUGCUUAACACAUGCAAGUCAAGGGGGCCCUGCAAGGGGCAACCGGCGAACGGGUGCGUAACACGUGAGCGACCUACCUUUUUGUGGGGGAUAGCCGGCCCAACGGCCGGGUAAUACCGCAUACGCUCUCUUCUGGGCAUCGUGGGGGGGAGAAACUUUCGAGGCAGAGAGAGGGCUCGCGGCCUAUCAGCUAGUUGGCGGGGUAACGGCCCACAAGGCGGUGACGGGUAGC
rnacentral:rRNA from 1 species